AUACGGAGGGUGCAAGCGUUGUUCGGAAUCACUGGGCGUAAAGGGCGCGCAGGCGGUUUGGUAAGUCAGAUGUGAAAGCGCAUGGCUCAACCAUGGAAGUGCAUUUGAAACUGUCAGACUUGAGUACUAGAGGGGAAAGUGGAAUUCCCGGUGUAGAGGUGAAAUUCGUAGAUAUCGGGAGGAAUACCGGUGGCGAAGGCGACUUUCUGGCUAGAUACUGACGCUGAGGCGCGAAAGCGUGGGGAGCAAACAGGAUUAGAAACCCUAGUAGUCC
rnacentral:rRNA from 1 species